UCCAGGAUAAAAUAAAACAAACAAACAAACCCAAUGUACUAGAGAAACAAACAUCUUUACAAAUAUACACAACACAAGCACUUUGACUUGGAGACUCUAGUGCUGCAACUACCGAUUACUUGCUGGAUGAGUUGUUUAGUCUCUAAAAUGUGGAUCAGUGUUUCCCAAAAAGCCCAAGAUGACGUCCUCAAAUGUCUUGUUUUGUCCACACCUCAAAGAUAUUCAGUUUCCUGUCCCAGAGGAGAGAAGAGACCAGAAGAUAUUCACGUGUAUCAAGCUGACAUCACGUUUAUCAUAAAAAAUAACUCCAACUGAUUAAUGGAUUAUCAGAAUAGUAGAUUAUUUUAACAGUUGACAACUAAUCAAUUCAUCUUUACAGCUGUGAUCCCAGCUGUUAUUUGUCCCGCAGCGUCU